rnacentral:rRNA from 1 species
UGAGGAAUAUUGCUCAAUGGGCGAAAGCCUGAAGCAGCAACGCCGCGUGCGCGAUGAAGGUCUUCGGAUCGUAAAGCGCUUUUGAGAGGGACGAGAUAGGACGGUACCUCUUGAAUAAGUCACGGCUAACUACGUGCCAGCAGCCGCGGUAAAACGUAGGUGGCAAGCGUUAUCCGGAUUCACUGGGCGUAAAGCGCGUGCAGGUGGCUUCGUAAGUUGGACGUUAAAUCUUUCGGCCUAACCGGGAGGUGUCGUUCAAUACUGCGGGGCUUGAGGGUAGAAGAGGGGGGUGGAAUUGCCGGUGUAGUGGUGAAAUGCGUAGAUAUCGGCAGGAACACCUGUGGCGAAAGCGGCCCCCUGGUCUGCUCCUGACACUCAGACGCGAAAGCUAGGGGAGUGAACG